rnacentral:rRNA from 1 species
UACGAAGGGGGCUAGCGUUGUUCGGAAUUACUGGGCGUAAAGGGCGCGUAGGCGGUACUUCAAGUCAGGCGUGAAAGCCCCGGGCUCAACCUGGGAACCGCGCUUGAGACUGGAGAACUAGAGUUCGGGAGAGGAUGGUGGAAUUCCCAGUGUAGAGGUGAAAUUCGUAGAUAUUGGGAAGAACACCGAUGGCGAAGGCAGCCAUCUGGACCGACACUGACGCUGAGGCGCGAAAGCAUGGGGAGCGAACGGG